rnacentral:rRNA from 1 species
UACGGGGGGGGGCAAGCGUUGUUCGGAAUUACUGGGCGUAAAGGGCUCGUAGGUGGCCAACUAAGUCAGACGUGAAAUCCCCAGGCUCAACCUGGGAACUGCGUCCGAGACUGGCAGGCUCGAAUCCGGGAGAGGGAUGUGGAAUUCCAGGUGUAGCGGUGAAAUGCGUAGAUAUCUGGAGGAACACCGGUGGCGAAGGCGGCAUCCUGGACCGGUAUUGACGCUGAGGCGCGAAAGCCAGGGGAGCAAACGGG